AGACGACUCUCGGCAACGGAUAUCUCGGCUCUUGCAUCGAUGAAGAACGUAGCGAGAUGCGAUACGUGGUGUGAAUUGCAGAAUCCCGUGAACCAUCGAGUCUUUGAACGCAAGUUGCGCCCGAGGCCACUCGGCCGAGGGCACGCCUGCCUGGGCGUCACGCCCCCGUUCGCUCCCUCAAGGCACGCCCUGCCUCGGGGAUGCGGAGAUUGGCCGCCCGUUGCGCGAAUCGAAGGCGAGCGGUUGGCCCAAAUGCAGGUCAAAGUGCGGAUGCGGCACGACGCGCGUUGGUUUAGUCGCGCGGAUGAUCGCCGGUCGGUCGCCGCGCCCGUGUCAUGCCGCUCGCGGUGCGACCCGUGGGACGCAACUUGCCCGCUACGGCGGGCACUCGGACCGCGACCCCAGGUCAGGCGGGACCACCCGCUGAGUUUAAGCAUAUCAAUAAGCGGAGGAGAAGAAACUUACGAGGAUUCCCCUAGUAACGGCGAGCGAACCGGGAGCAGCCC
rnacentral:rRNA from 2 species